GAGUUUGAUCAUGGCUCAAAACGUACGCUGGCGGCACGCCUAACACAUGCAAGUCGAACGAAGUAGCAAUACUUAGUGGCAGACGGGUGAGUAACAUGUAGGUAUCUGCCCUUUGGCCUGGAAUAACACGAGGAAACUUGUGCUAAUACCGGAUAAGUCUUUACGGAGAAAGCUUUAUGCACCAUUGGAUGAGCCUGCACUUGAUUAGUUUGUUGGUGGGGUAAUGACCUACCAAGACUGUGAUCAAUAGCUGAUUUGAGAGGAUGAUCAGCCACAUUGGGACUGAGACACGGCCCAAACUCCUACGGGAGGCAGCAGUGGGGAAUCUUGCACAAUGGAGGAAACUCUGAUGCAGCGAUGCCGCGUGAGUGAAGAAGGCCCUUGGGUUGUAAAGCUCUUUCGUCGGGGAAGAAAAUGACUGUACCCGAAUAAGAAGGUCCGGCUAACUUCGUGCCAGCAGCCGCGGUAAUACGAAGGGGCCUAGCGUAGUUCGGAAUUACUGGGCUUAAAGAGUUCGUAGGUGGUUGAGAAAGUUAGUGGUGAAAUCCCAGAGCUUAACUCUGGAACUGCCAUUAAAACUUUUCAGCUAGAGUAUGAUAGAGGAAAGCAGAAUUUCUAGUGUAGAGGUGAAAUUCGUAGAUAUUAGAAAGAAUACCAAUUGCGAAGGCAGCUUUCUGGAUCAUUACUGACACUGAGGAACGAAAGCAUGGGUAGCGAAGAGGAUUAGAUACCCUCGUAGUCCAUGCCGUAAACGAUGUGUGUUAGACGUUGGAAAUUUAUUUUCAGUGUCGCAGGGAAACCGAUAAACACACCGCCUGGGGAGUACGACCGCAAGGUUAAAACUCAAAUGAAUUGACGGGGACCCGCACAAGUAGUGGAGCAUGUGGUUUAAUUCGAAGAUACGCGCAGAACCUUACCAACACUUGACAUGUUCGUCGCGACUCUAAGAGAUUAGAGUUUUCGGUUCGGCCGGACGAAACACAGGUGCUGCAUGGCUGUCGUCAGCUCGUGUCGUGAGAUGUUGGGUUAAGUCCCGCAACGAGCGCAACCCUCACUUUUAGUUGCCAUCACUAAGUUGGGCACUCUGAAAGAACUGCCAGUGAUAAGCUGGAGGAAGGUGGGGAUGACGUCAAGUCCUCAUGGCCCUUACGUGUUGGGCUACACACGUGCUACAAUGGUAUCUACAACAGGAAGCAAGACGGCGACGUCAAGCAAAUCCUUAAAAGAUACCUCAGUUCGGAUUGCACUCUGCAACUCGAGUGCAUGAAGCUGGAAUUACUAGUAAUCGUGGAUCAGCGUGCCACGGUGAAUGCGUUCCCGGGUCUUGUACACACCGCCCGUCACACCAUGGGAGUUGGUUCUACCUUAAGGCAAGGUUUCAAACCCUUGACCACGGUAUAGUCAGCGACUGGGGUGAAGUCGUAACAAGGUAACC
rnacentral:rRNA from 1 species